GACGAACGCUGGCGGCGUGCUUAACACAUGCAAGUCGUACGAUGACCCGGCUCUUCGGAGCUGGUGAUUAGUGGCGAACGGGUGAGUAACACGUGGGUGACCUGCCCUGCACUCUGGGAUAAGCCCGGGAAACUGGGUCUAAUACUGGAUACGACCAGUGGCCGCAUGGUCUGCUGGGGGUAAGCCCUUUGGGGUGGUGGGGGUUGGGCCCGCUGACUAUGAGGGUGGUGGUGGGGUGAAGGCCUACCAAGGCGGCGACGGGGAGCGGGGAUGAGAGGAGGCCCGGUGAGACUGAGACUCGGCCCAGGCCCAGACUCCAGCGGGAGGUGGCGGAGGGGAAUCUUACACAAUGAGCGAAAGCCUGAUGCAGCGCGGGCGCGAGAGGGAUGACGGCCUUCGGGUUGUAAACCUCUUUCGGCAGAGAACAAGCCGGGGGGUUUUCUGCUGGAUGACGGUACCUUCAGAAGAAGCACCGGCUAACUACGUG
rnacentral:rRNA from 1 species